rnacentral:rRNA from 1 species
GACGAACGCUGGCGGCGUGCUUAACACAUGCAAGUCGAUCGGUAACAGGUGUAGCAAUACAUGCUGACGAGAGGCGGACGGGUGAGUAAUGCUUGGGAAUCUGCCUAUUGGGUGGGGGACGAACCCGGGGAAACGUCGGGCGUAAUACCGCAUACGCUCUACGGAGGAAAGGACCGGGGACCGGCAAGGCCGUGGCGCUAAUAGAUGAGCCCAAGUCGGAUUAGCUAGUUGGUAGGGUAACGGCCACCAAGGCGACAAUCCGUAGCUGGUCUGAGAGGACGACCAGCCACACCGGAACU